ensembl:lncRNA
AUGAGCCGGUGCCUUUAUGAAGACGCCGGAUUAAACACGGCUCUCGCUGGAUUACGGGAGAUCUGCGGCUCCCUCUCGCCUGACCUCUCCUACAUUACCCAUGAUGCCAACGGCUGGCAGGUGAGCCAGAGCAUGCAGUACGCGGCGUCAUCUGACGUGCUUAGCUCCGCCUCCAGCGUGUUUGAGGACGCCAAUCGCAGGAACUCCGCCUUGGCAGGGGGCGUGGCAUGUGUGAGCCACUCCCACUCCAUGUUCCUGCCCUCACAGAGAGCUUCUGCAAACGGCAAGGUGAGAGGAACUGCAUUUUAGUGCUUUUUACACACAUGCUCAAACCUUUAUUCCCAUUCGACUCAAUAACAGCUGCUCACCUGUUGAAGUAUAAGACCUGCGUGCCAUCUUUGCUUGAGUCAGUCACCUGAGCUGUAAAAGUCAUGUGACUAAUUACUACGGAAGCUGCAAGUCCUGAUUGGCUGAAAUGGCAGCAGACAAAAAACAAAACAAAACAAAAUUAAAUUAAAUUAAAUUAAAUUAAAUUAAAUUAAAUUAAAUUAAAUUAAAUUAAAUUAAAUUAAAUUAAAUUAAAUUAAAUUAAAUUA